rnacentral:tRNA from 1 species
GCCCAGGUGGUGAAAUUGGUAGACACAAGGGACUUAAAAUCCCUCGGCCUCGCGGCCGUGCCGGUUCGACUCCGGCCCUGGGCACCA